GAGCUGGGGCUGGGGCAAGAGCUGGGGCUGGGGCAAGAGCUGGGGCUGGGCCAGGUGGUGCGGUCGGGGGCAAGACUGAGCUCUGAGUAAAAGGUCUCCUUGGUCUUGGACAGAUUUCAGGAAUACAGGAAGUACAGGCACGGUCACUCACUCCUUAUCCAAACUGGUGGCCUAGGUCCUGGUCGAAAUGUUACGAACAGAACAGAGAACAGCUGGAGAAUAUAGGUUACACAGAACCCGAAAACAGUCAGCCAACUAGGUUACACAGAACCCAAAAAACAGUCAGCCAACUAGGUUACACAGAACCCGAAAACAGUCAGCCAACUACAGUCAGCUCAGUAAGGGGCCAUCAGCACCCCUUAGAAACAUGUGGAACAGGAUGCCUCUUCUGUGGCCAUGUAGGUUACACACAGUCAAAUACAGUCUGUCAAAUACAGUCUGUCAAAUACAGUCUGUCAAACACAGUCUGUCAAACACAGUCUGUCAAACACAGUCUGUCAAACACAGUCGGUCAAACACAGUCGGUCAAACACAGUCGGUCAAACACAGUCUGUCAAACACAGUCGGUCAAACAGUCAGUCAAACACAGUCGGUCAAACGCAGUCGGUCAAAUGACCCCAGUGACCAUGUACCAAGCUGGCCCACCACUGGCUACCAGCCUUAAUAAAUAGACCUCUACUGUACUAUACAACUGUCUGAGGAGGAUUGGAUGCAGUUCCACGUUGCUCACAUUGCUUUUGACCGUUUACAAGUUUAGAUCACAUUUUAAAGUAUAUAUAUCAACUGUUAUAUAUUUUUCUUUCUAGUAUAUUUUAAACUUUACGCUUUUUUGGGGGGCAGGGUGGAAAAGUGAAUGAAUUAUAUAUUAUUAUGAUUGUGUGACUUGACUUUGAAGAACAAUGUGUGUUGUUUAAAAACGAAAUAAAAAGUGAUAUUUGA